UACGUAGGGGGCAAGCGUUGUCCGGAUUUAUUGGGCGUAAAGAGCGUGUAGGCGGCCAGGUAGGUCAGCUGUGAAAACUCGAGGCUCAACCUCGAGACGUCGGUGGAAACCGUUUGGCUAGAGUCCGGAAGAGGAGAGUGGAAUUCCCGGUGUAGCGGUGAAAUGCGCAGAUAUCGGGAAGAACACCCGUGGCGAAGGCGGCUCUCUGGGACGGUACUGACGCUGAGACGCGAAAAGCUAGGGGAGCAAACGGGG
rnacentral:rRNA from 1 species